AGGGGAGGAAGUGUCAGAAAGAGAGGAAGAACAGCAGGAUGUAGCAACUGAAGAGGAGGCAGAGGAGACGGAUGAUGAAGAUGAGGAGCCAUUAGAAAAUGAUGCUUUACCAGAGGAUGAAUAGAGCCCGUCACCAAAAAGUAUUUUUUUUUUUUCCCAUGCCGGACACUUUCGCAGAAUAUUAUAUGACAACUACUGCAGGAAGGCGGACUUGAUUGCUGUUGUUUAGGUGCAGUAUUCAUUAUGCGGUUGCUCUUUGGACAGCAGACCUCAGUCAGAAGAAAUCGGUCACUGUGCUGGCUUCAAAGCUGAAACCUGUACCUCAAAAUAUGACACGGCUGUUAAGUUAGGAAAUUAAUAAUUCAGGGUUAACCUGCCAAUAACCACCUCCGAAGCCUUAAUCCAUAAAAGAACUCUUUCUCCAGAGCACCUUUCACUGUUCAUGACUCACACGUUGUUCAUGGUCAAGGUUAGGCUCUGUCCUAAACUGGAAAGCCAAUGACGUGAACUGUUUAUCAAUGCACUUGAAGCCAUAAGAAAUGUUACAAUGUUUCCUCUCACUGCCUGAAAUGUAUCGUCGGAGCAUAUUUUAAGAAGGGAAAAACUUAUUGUAUCCCAGUUGUUUACUCAGGCAACACAGCCACCUAAAAAGCAUCUUUUGACAAGAUGAACGAGAACAAUUCCUGAAUGUUUUUAAAGUAAGGGACUAAUUGUAGUUGAUAGAUUUUUGUUUUUUUUAAUUACUUUUUACAUUACUUAGAUUUAACACUUUUUACCUAAUUACAAUCGCACUCAGACCUACACACUUGCAGUAUUGUAAAAUGCAGUGGGUAAAUUCCUCUACCUGGAACUGCUUCAUCAUCAUUUUACUGCUUUUAAUACGUUUUUAGUUCAGACUUUACAUCAUUUACUAAUUUAACAAACAACAGCGACAUAUUCUACGCAUUAAAGUCGCUGCGAAACAGUUGUUUCUAACUUAAGAGGAGCCUCAGGGAUAAAUUACUCUCUAGAUGGGUGGAAAACUAUUACAGCAAAAUCUUUUCAUCCAAAACGACACCAAUUGGGCCAAUAUUGAUUGAUCAUAACGGUUUGAACUUUACCGUUGCAGUCAAACGGGAGCAGAAAUACACAGAACAAACUACUUUAUGCUGCAGUCAGACUUUUUAGCUUUUAGGUUGCAGAGGAGAGAUCUCCAGAUGGACACUGAGGCUAAAGAUGGAUCAGAACUAUGCCGGGAAUCUGAAAUGUGCAGGAGGAGCAAGGAGUACCGGUGUUCAUGUCACCAGAUAUUAACCCCACCCAACGUGUCGGUGAACAUUAGAAACUAAAAGGUUCAAAUCACAAUACUGUGUGGUGCUGAGAUGCUCCUAAAACAACUGGAAUAAUGUGAAAUCUUGACUAAUGCAGAAUAAAUAUGCAAGCUGCAAUCAGGGCAAAGAAUAAGAUCAGUUAUUAAUAAUGUAAAAUGUAUCUCUAUAAAAUGAGCUCUUUUUUUAAGACAUAAAUGAUGCCAUGUUUGGAGUCAGACUGUUUAGUGAUUCAGUUCUUUGUAGUACACUAGGACCUGGACCCCACUGGGCCCUUUGACUUUUACAAAACGCACUGCAUUCUCAUCUCACUUUGCCAUGACACUUUUUUUUAAAUAAACCCUUGUUUUACUUCUGUA